rnacentral:rRNA from 1 species
GUGAGGAAUUUUCCGCAAUGGGCGAAAGCCUGACGGAGCAAUGCCGCGUGAAGGAUGAAGGCCUAUGGGUUGUAAACUUCUUUUCUAGAAAAGAAUUAUGACGGUAUCUGAGGAAUAAGCAUCGGCUAACUCUGUGCCAGCAACCGCGGUAAGACAGAGGAUGCAAGCGUUAUCCGGAAUGAUUGGGCGUAAAGCGUCUGUAGGUUGUUUAAAAAGUAUUCUGUCAAAGAUUAGGGCUUAACCCUAGAUAGGCAGAAUAAACUUUUAAGCUAGAGUUUGGUAGAGGCAGAGGGAAUUCCCGGUGGAGCGGUGAAAUGCGUAGAUAUCGGGAGGAACACCAAAGGCGAAGGCACUCUGCUGGGCCAAUACUAACACUGAGAGACGAAAGCGAGGGGAGCAAAUGGGAUUAGAAACCCCGGUAGUCC